AAUGAACAAUUCAGACGAUCGUAACGAAGAUCGACCAAUGAUCAAUGACGUAGCUUCGUUCCGACGUGUAAGUUUAAGUUUAAGGGACCGAGAGAGAAAAGAGCGCGAAAAAGAAAGUCUCGGUCAGUAGGUAGAAAGCUGGUUGUCACGGAUAAACAUUUUCUAUCGUCUUCGAGCGAUUUACUUCUGGAGGUCAAGCUCGCCCACGCAACCGGCUUUUCUCCAGGGGCGUAUCCACGGGGCGUGUUCACGAAGCGGUAGGGUGUACCAGAGGCGGAGUCGUUUCCCCACCGUUCCCGACGCGCGAUUUUUGCUCUCGGCCAGGAACGUACACGCGUUUUCCGCCGUAUAUAUACACGUAAGUGGUUGGUUUCUGGGUCGUGUGAGUAACACCGUGACGUCCCACGUUCGGACACGGGUCACAGACAGUAGGCUUUGCCGAGUUUUCUUCGGUCGAUCGCCGGCUAAACGAUUUCUUAUGCCGCGACAUUGAACACUGCGAUGUCGAGAAUCGAACAAAACCACGCUUCGUCUUUUUCUUCGUUUAUUUUCUGUCUUCUCUCUUGACAGAGUGCGCUUCAACGAAGAACAAAUCUCGCGAGUGCGCCGAGCGACAACGAUACUUUCACUCGACUAUCGUCAGGUGUUUCUUAACUCUUUGCCUUACGAUGUUUUUCACUAGCCACCUCGGUGAGCCUUAUUCCAUGCUAUGACACUGUGUCAAACGCAAAAUAUCGAAACGUUACGAAGAAUCGAAACUAAAACAGCAGAUAGUUUCUUUUUCCUCUUUGUGCAUUCCAGCCGAUUCCUUCGCAGCUGACGAUUAGUUCCAUGCGCCAUGUUUCGAUCGAGUUUAUUCCUUCUUUACCGAGGAUUAUUCUCUGCAAGUGGAAAUCGCAUAAGUUACUUACAUAUUUGUUCGCUACGAAUUCAUGGAAAUACGUGCUUGGCAAACGCGCGAUCGAAUUCUCUUAUUGAAAAAGUAUUCGACGAAUCUCUCGAGUCGGACGAUAGAAGAAACGGCAGACUAUGGAAGAAACCAGAGGAAACUUUGCUCGUAUUUGCAAUGUUUAGCUUCCAUUAUAGCUGCGCUAUUUAGUUAUCGCGGUGGGAAAGUUUAUCCGUGAUACGGUGGCGCGAUCGACUGCACAUAGAUACAUCUUACGUACGGUGAACGAUGGAAUAUCGCAAAUUCCCUGACGGCACGGAUGGCAAAGGCAUUCUGGCGUAGCAAUUACCUGCAGGGCGAGGGAGUCAAGUAGCAAUAUCUGGACCCGUUAUCCAGUUCGGUUAUCCCGACUGGAAUGCUUUGUGUCGCCGGCAAUCUGCAUUUCUACCUGUUUGAAUGGAAGUCUAUGAGAUCCGCGGCAUGAUUUCAAAUGAAAUCGACUCUUUGUCCCCUGGCCGGAAAUUUCCAAUUCAAUAACGCGCCCAGGGAAACGCUGCAGAAACGACCGAUUGAUUGAUACUCGGAAUUGGAUGGAACGCGAAAGGACGGAAAAAGUUUUACUGCCGAUCGAUCGUCAUUCGAGAAAUUUGAAUGUCUUACGUGUAACCAAGAGCUAAUCCUGAAUCGAUUCGUUGGAUCUUAUUAAAGUUAUUAUUCGACUUUGUAUACGUACAUGUUACGCGUUACGAAUACCGCAUAUCGGGAAACGUUAAUAGAAUAUUUAAAACGUAGUAACAUCGUGAUGGCCUUUAAGUCUGACGAACGUCCGAACGUGCAUCGUAUUUCAGCAACUGUAGGUGUAUCGCUUCCUUUGGUUGGCUUUGGCAGAUUUUCUUCCAUUGGAACCUAUGAAUGACUGACUAGUCGAGAACUUGCCCGGCAACCCUUUGCAAUGCAUUAGAAUUUCGCAGCUAUCAAGGGAGGAAAGCGACAUUAGCAUCGAGGCUAAGGACACCCUUGCUUCGCGUUCGCGUCUUAUGUUUUCGUCGGCCCGGUAUUCAUGAACGGGGUUCUGACGCGGGGCAUUCGACUUCCUUCUCCUUCAUGAAUUUACAAUCGACCGAAGGAAAUGCGCAGACGAAGCUUGCGCGUGCCAUUCCUUGAGAAACAGUGCUAAAUACCAGAAGCUUCGAUGCUCGUUCCAUCGUUUUAGGUACGAGUUGUAAGAUUUGACGUAAUGUAUACUUAAAGGACAAUGGGAUAGAUACACUAUUCUCUAGAUGAAUUUUUAUUCUUCUUUGAGAGAUUAUCACUGACGACACAGAGACAUAUUGAGGAGUACUUCGUAGUUGUACAUACAUAGGUACUUUUAUAGAUUCCACGAUAGUUGUCAGAAAUGACUAAAAAGUCGACAGUUCUGCUAAUCGUAUCAAGUUGCGGCGACAAAUCCAUGGUCCAGCUAAUAAGAACGCUAGUGUCGAAGGACGAGGGAAAGAGAGAAAUAAUAACGAGGAAGACAGAGAUUGGAGGUUUAGUGGGCGAGGGUGAAUGUGGCGAGGGAAAGCGGAUGGAGGCUGGAGCCACGUGCUGCUGUCACUGGCACAGAUUAUAUUAUAUAGGAAUGGCAGCGAAUAGGUGUAGAUAUAAGCGUCGAGCGGCAGUUAAUAAAUAUGAUAAUGGCGGGCGAAGUGAGAGAAAGAGAGGGGUGUGUGGGGUGCGAUAUGGGAUACCAGUGUAUAAGAGUGACCACCAGAAGCAGAGGCCUGUCACCGUCAGGACCUCUCGUAUGUCAUGCGACGCACGCACGUAUACGUACAUGCACAUACAAAGUGGCGACACGCGCGCGAUGACAGCAUCGAGCGUGGAACGCGUGCUACUAUCUUUUUCUUUCGUUUUUCCGUCCUUUGCCGUGAUAUAAUCGUCGACGCGAUUACUCGAUUCCAAUGACAACUAUUUGAAUAAAAAAGCUGGCCGUCUUCCUCAAA